AGAACGAACGCUGGCGGCAGGCCUAGUACAUGCAAGUCGAGCGCCCAGCAAUGGGAGCGGCGGACGGGUGAGCAACACGUGGGAACAUGCCCUUCGGUACGGAACAACUCAGGGAAACUUGAGCUAAUACCGCAUACGCCCCGCAAGGGGGAAAGAUUUAUCGCCGAAGGAUUGGCCCGCGUCCGAUUAGCUAGUUGGUGAGGUAAAAGCCCACCAAGGCACCGAUCGGUAGCUGGUUUGAGAGAACGACCAGCCACACUGGGACUGAGACACGGCCCAGACUCCUACGGGAGGCAGCAGUAGGGAAUCUUGGACAAUGGGGGAAACCCUGAUCCAGCCAUGCCGCGUGAGUGAUGAAGGCCUUCGGGUUGUAAAACUCUUUCGGCGGGGACGAUAAUGACGGUACCCGCAGAAGAAGCUCCGGCUAGCUUCGUGCCAGCAGCCGC
rnacentral:rRNA from 1 species